UCCAGGGUAGCCUAGUGGACAUGGCAUCUGCCCAGUAAAAGGAACACAGUGUGUUCGAUUCCCAUCCCUGGAC